UCGGAAUUACUGGGCGUAAAGCGCGCGUAGGAGGUUUGUUAAGUCAGAGGUGAAAGCACGGGGCUCAACCCCGGAAUAGCCCUUGAAACUGGGAAACUUGAAUCUUGGAGAGGUCAGUGGAAUUCCGAGUGUAGAGGUGAAAUUCGUAGAUAUUCGGAAGAACACCAGUGGCGAAGGCGACUGACUGGACAAGUAUUGACGCUGAGGUGCGAAAGCGUGGGGAGCAAACAG
rnacentral:rRNA from 1 species